rnacentral:tRNA from 1 species
AAAUAUAUAUAUAUAAAUUUAAGCUGCUAACUUAAUAAAUAGUGAAUAAAAUCAUUAAUAUUUCU